rnacentral:tRNA from 1 species
GCGCCCGUAGCUCAGCUGGAUAGAGCAUCCGCCUUCUAAGCGGACGGUCACAGGUUCGAAUCCUGUCGGGCGCACCA